rnacentral:misc_RNA from 1 species
AACGCACAUUGCGCCCUUCGGUAUUCCGAGGGGCACACCUGUUCGAGCGCCGUGUAAAAUCUAAGGCCCAGCCUUGCGUUGGUGGCUACCGUCUCUCAGGCGGUACCCCCUAAACUUCCGGGCGUCCGUCUCCCAGCCGGCUAUGCGCAAAAGCACCUGCCGCGCUAGGGGGUGGGCCGCCAGUUACACAGUACGUUUGGCCUCGGAUCAGGUGGGGAUACCCGCUGAACUUAA